rnacentral:rRNA from 1 species
AUGGUUGUUCUAUCAGUUGCUUUGCAGUACUACAUCCACCUCAGGUUGAAUUAUGAUCUUGGAUGGAAAAAAAUUAAAGUUAUUCUCUCUGAUGCCAAUUUUCCUGGUGAAGGGGAGCACAAAAUCAUGUCCUACAUUCGUGGCAAUAGGAACCUCUGUAAUGAACUUAACGCAAAUACCCGACAUUGCCUGUAUGGCCUGGAUGCAGAUCUGAUCAUGUUAGGUCUAGCAACACACGAAGUACACUUCUCCAUACUGAGAGAGGUGGUGUUUACACCUGGACAGCAGGACAAAUGCUUCCUGUGUGGUCAAGUUGGACAUCUAGCAGCAAAGUGUGAAGGAAAGGCAAAACGGAAAGCUGGGGAGUUUGAUGAGAAGGGUGAUGAAAUAGUACCAAAGAAACCUUACCAGUUCUUGAAUAUAUGGACCCUACGAGAGUACCUAGAAUACGAGUUCAGAAUGCCAAAUCCACCUUUCAAGAUUGAUCUUGAACGCAUCAUUGAUGAUUUCAUCUUCAUGUGCUUUUUUGUUGGCAAUGAUUUUCUUCCACACAUGCCGACACUAGAGAUUAAGGAGAGAGCUAUUAAUUUGCUAAUUGCUGUAUACAAGAAGGAAUUUCCUAAUAUGGGUGGCUAUUUAACUGACACUUGCACACCGGAUCUGAAUAGAGUUGAACACUUCAUUCAAGCAGUUGGUUCAUACGAGGAUAAAAUAUUUCAGAAAAGGGCUCGUUUGCACCAGCGUCAAGCUGAAAGAAUAAAACGUGAUAAAGCCCAAGCAAAGCGAGGCGAUGAUUUGGAUCCCCAUGUCAGUGGUGAUCUUAUUGUACCUGUUGCGCGAUUCCAAGGGUCUCGCCUUGCCUCUGGGGCUGUGGCUUCACCAUAUGAACAUAAUGGGUCUCAUAAAGAUAGCACGGAAAAGGGUGGUCGAGCUAAGAAAGCACGUGUAUCAUCUUCAGAUUCCAGCCUUUCUGCUGCUACGAACCGGUACUAA